rnacentral:misc_RNA from 1 species
AUGGUGGCCCUCCAUAAGUGUCCUCCAUAAGUAAUUCACCUUUUUUAUCAUUUUUGAGAAAGACAAGAAGAGGGAGAAACAUGAAGAUAGUACAAAUCUUGACAUUUGCAUCAAUUUUCAGUUUUAUCUAAUUGUUUAACUUCGUCAAUUAUACAUUGUACUUUAUAAGUUUCUUUGGUAUUAAAGUUGAAGCUUUUUUUUUACCCUUGAAUAGGCAUCUUAUUAGAUAUUGCAAAAAGUAAUUUGAAACUGAUUUUUUAGCAUUUAUGCAGCUAUAAGAUCCCUGACAAAGUGAAAGGUAAGUUUUAUAGAAUUGUGGUCAAGCUAGCUAUGUUGUGUAGGAGUAAAUGUAAGACAUAUAAGGUACAACACAUACACAAGAUGAAUGUGACAAAUAUGCGGAUGUUAAGAUAGAUGUUUGGCAUUAUGAUGAUGGAUAAGAUUAGAAAUUAUCAUAUCUGCCAGAUAUUGCAUAUAGUACAUAUUUGGGAUUAAGACUUAGAUGUUAUUGUUGUUGUUGUCUUUUAUCGAUAUGUUCAAAAUUAUGCUUUUAUGGUAGAAGCUACAACAAUAAUGCCAAAUAGACCUUUAAGUGAUAUCAAUUGCAUCCAAGGUGAUUAUGACAUGAGGUUUGUGUCUAUAUUAGCUUGAGUUGGCAUGUGGUCAUAAUUGGCAGGUUGAGUAAGAUACUAAGAUUUCAGUUAUUGAUUGAGGUCCUACCUAAAUAUAUCUAAUCUGAUGUCUUCU